rnacentral:lncRNA from 1 species
AUGCUGCACUUUGCAACAGCACCCAUUGCAUUGCCCUCUUUGCUCACCAUGCUUUGCAUCCUGUUGCAUUGCCCUGUUUGCUCACUGCAGCACCAGACCUCGCUCACCUUUUGCAUUUUCCAAUUGCACCAGGCCUUGCUCAUCUUUUGCAUCCCACACUUUGCAACAGUACCAAACUUUGCUCAGACCUUGCUCAUCUUUUGCAUCCAGCACUUUGCAGCAGCACCAGGCCUUGCUCAUCUUUUGCAUUUUGCAUUUCACAGUUGCAUCGUGUCUUGCUCACCUUUUGCAUCCUGCACUUGCAUCAGAACCUGCUCAUCUUUUGCAUCCUGCACUUUCCAACCUAACUUUGCUCACUUUUUGCAUCCUACACUUUGCAACAGCACAAAACUUUGCUCAGACCAUGCUCACCUUUUGCAUUUUCCAAUUGCACCAGGCCUUGCUCAUCUUUUGCAUUUUGCAUUUCACAGUUGCACCAAACUUUGCUCACCUUUUGCAUUUUGCACUUUGCAAUUGCACCAAACCUUGCUCACCUUUUGCAUCAUGCACUUGCAUCAGAACGUGCUCACCCUUUGCAUCCCACACUUUGCAACAACACCAGGCCUUGCUCAUCUUUUGCAUUUUCCAAUUGCACCAGACCUUGGUCACCUUUUGCAUCCUGCACUUUGCACCAGCACCCAUUGCAUUGCCCUGCUUGCUCACCAUGCUUUGCUUUGCUCACCCUUUUGCAUCCCACACUUUGCAAUAGCACCUAACUUUGCUCAGACCUUGCUCACCUCUUGCAUCUUGCAUUUGCAUCAGAACCUGCUCACCUUUUGCAUGCUGCACUUUGCAGCAGCACCCAUUGCAUUACCCUCUUUGCUCACCAUGCUUUGCAUCCUGUUGCAUUGCCCUGCUUGCUCGCCAUGCUUUGCUUUGCUCAUCCUUUGCAUCCCACACUUUGCAACAGCACCCAUUGCAUUGCCCUGCUUGCUCACCAUGCUUUGCUUUGCUCAUUGCAGCCAUGCUUUGCUUUGCUCAUUGCAGCCACGCUUUGCUCUGCUCAUUGCAGCCACGCUUUGCUUUGCUCAUUGCAGCCACACUUUGCUUUGCUCAUUGCAGCCACACUUUGCUUUGCUCAUUGCAGCCACACUUUGCUUUGCUCAUUGCAGCAAUGCUUUGCUUUGCUCAUUGCAGCCACGCUUUGCUUUGCUCAUUGCAGCC